rnacentral:rRNA from 1 species
UAGAGUUUGAUCCUGGCUCAGGACGAACGCUGGCGGCGUGCCUAAUACAUGCAAGUCGAACGAAGCUUUCUUUCACCGAAUGCUUGCAUUCACCGAAAGAAGCUUAGUGGCGAACGGGUGAGUAACACGUAGGUAACCUGCCCGAAAGAGGGGGAUAACACUUGGAAACAGGUGCUAAUACCGCAUAACCAUGAACACCGCAUGAUGUUCAUGUAAAAGACGGCUUUUGCUGUCACUUUUGGAUGGGCCUGCGGCGUAUUAACUUGUUGGUGGGGUAACGGCCUACCAAGGUGAUGAUACGUAGCCGAACUGAGAGGUUGAUCGGCCACAUUGGGACUGGGACACGGCCCAAACUCCUACGGGAGGCAGCAGUAGGGAAUCUUCCACAAUGGACGAAAGUCUGAUGGAGCAACGCCGCGUGAAUGAAGAAGGCCUUCGGGUCGUAAAAUUCUGUUGUCAGAGAAGAACGUGCGUGAGAGUAACUGUUCACGUAUUGACGGUAUCUGACCAGAAAGCCACGGCUAACUACGUGCCAGCAGCCGCGGUAAUACGUAGGUGGCAAGCGUUGUCCGGAUUUAUUGGGCGUAAAGGGAACGCAGGCGGUCUUUUAAGUCUGAUGUGAAAGCCUUCGGCUUAACCGAAGUAGUGCAUUGGAAACUGGAAGACUUGAGUGCAGAAGAGGAGAGUGGAACUCCAUGUGUAGCGGUGAAAUGCGUAGAUAUAUGGAAGAACACCAGUGGCGAAAGCGGCUCUCUGGUCUGUAACUGACGCUGAGGUUCGAAAGCGUGGGUAGCAAACAGGAUUAGAUACCCUGGUAGUCCACGCCGUAAACGAUGAGUGCUAAGUGUUGGAGGGUUUCCACCCUUCAGUGCUGCAGCU